GGAUCACUGAGUUUAAUUCUUUAGCACACAAAGUUCUACAGUUCCACUACUGGGAGUGUCCACUUCUUCGGAGUUCAGCAAGAUUUUGACCUUGUACAACUGGAAAGAACUGGGAAAUUUACUCUUAAAUCUUCAAUUAUGAACAACCCUCUGUAGGUGCAUAGGAUACACAAUGGAUAAAAGGGAAAAGACAUUCAUUUCACUUUAGAGAGAGAGAAAAGAUGUUCUUCAAGUGGAUUGUGCACUUAGCAGUUUGGUUCUUGGUGCAGGCAGUAACAGAAAAAUGCCAGAAAGGAAAUAUGUCUUCAAACACUGCUUCUCAAGUCUCGUACGGAUCUAAUAUCACCCUCUCAUGCCGGCUAACACAACACGAGCGAUGCAACAAGAUAGCCAUAUUCCAUAAUGGCUCUGACAUAAAAAGCAUUCAUGGCACUGAAAUAAGCACUGACAUUUCAGUUCUUGACUAUGGCAGACUUGUGUUUACUUGCAAAUUGUUAUGCGACUACACAAAAAAGCUCAUUUGUGGAAUCGAUAUAGAAUCUGGAAAUCCUCCAGAUCAGCCAACAAAUGUAUCCUGUAUUCAGUUUGGAGAAGAUGGCAAUCCAACUUGUAGAUGGGAUAAAGGAAGAUUUACCCACAUAAACACUACAUACAUGCUGCAGCUGUCAAAUGGAACAGAUAUCUUCAGUUUUUUAGAAGAGAAUGUGAAUAAUAAAUAUGGCUUACUGGAUCUGAGAAAAAAGCUGAAUUUUGAAUCCAGUUACACAGCUGUGGUUGCUGCUUCAAAUGGACUGGGAAGUGCUUUUUCACAGCCACUCACAUUCAUGUUAAUAGACAUAGUGAAACCUCGCUCCCCAACAGAUGUUACAGUGAAAUUUGACAAUAAUUCUGCAACAAAUUGCACCAUUUUGUGGCAGGAUCAACAAGCAACACAACGCUUUAGACUGAGAUAUCGACCAAUUACCAGCCAGCAGUGGACUACGGUUAACUGGUUAAGUACUAGAAGAUACAGCCUGCAUGAUCAGAAGCCACAUACAGAGUAUGAAUUUCAGGUUAGCUGCAGGUUUCAUCCCAGCCGUGGAAUAUGGAGUGACUGGAGUACAUUUCAAACACGGACUCCGGAAGCUGUGCCAGUUGGGCUGUUAGAUGUGUGGUACGUAAUGCAGGAUAUAGAUUCCCAAAGACAAACUGUUACUCUCUUUUGGAAGGCUUUAAGUGAAUCAAAAGCAAGAGGAAAGAUCCUGCAUUACAGUGUGACCUUUCAAGAAGAAAGCCACAGAAGUCCUAAAGCAGCAGAAGUGAACACUACCACGCAAACUCACUAUGCUAAGGUUAUCCCCACGAUGAACUAUAACAUAACGGUCUGUGCUCAUAACUCAAAAGGAACCUCUCCUCCUACAUCCAUUAGUACUCAUCUGAAUGUUUUAGAUUUACCUCCUCCUCGGAGCGUCUUUGCUACAUCAAAGGGGAACAACAGCAUCUUUGUCACUUGGGAGCCUCCCAGUAAUCCUUCAUCAUUCAUCAAUGGAUACAUAGUGGAAUGGGUAAGAAGACAGAGAAAUACCAGCUCCAGACACCAUCUAAACUGGAUAAAGCUUCUGGCAUCCGACUUGUCUACAGUCAUUUCAGAGAACAUAAAGCAUCGUGCAUGCUAUCACAUCAAUGUAUUUGCACUUUAUAACAAUAGAGCUGGACAAGUGGCUUCAACCAGGGGAUACUCAAGACAGGAAGCACCAGCAGCUGGACCCCAGGUUUACGCAACAGCAGAGGCAGACGGCGCUCGGGUUUCAUGGGAUGAAAUCCCCGACCAUCAGCAAAUGGGCUGCAUCACCAGUUACAACAUAUACUUGCGGAACAAAAACGCAGAGGUGGCCCCUAAGAUCUACAGCAUUCGUCAAGAGAGUUCCAGAAAUUCAUUUUAUAUCAAAAAUUUACAACAAGGUGUGGACUAUACCUUGUGGAUGACAGCUUCAACACUGGCUGGAGAAGGUCCUAAAGGAAAUGAACAACCGGUUUACCUGGAAAGUGCUUCAGAAUGGACUUUUAUUUUGUCCGUUUGUAUCUUCAUUGUCAUCUCCGUCUGCAUGUGCUCUGCGCCGUGUAUUAAGAAAGCGUUAUGCUCCCUCUUUUCCAUCUUUGUACCUCAGUGGUACAGCAAAGCCAUUCCAGAUCCAGCUAACUCUUCAUGGGCUAAGAAAUUCACAUCUGCGAACGAUGAACUAAGUUUGUAUCCCAAACCAUUCCUAAGCAAUUUGAGCAGUUUCGAGGAGCCUGAAACUAUAGAAGUAGAGGAGGUCUUUAUAAAAAGAGACUCUCUGGCUUUCGAGGACCAGCUCAUCUUCAACGUUAAAAGCAAUGGAAGUCAGGAUUGGCAAAUUGGUAGCUUUGAGAAGCAGGACUCUGCUGAAAAGAACUCUGAAUGCAAACCUUUGGCAACAAGCAUAGCAGAUGAUGGAGACAACUAUGGGUGUCAGCUUCCCUACUUGUACAAGAAACUAAUUGCAGAAGAAACAGAACAGAUUCAAACUAUUUCUGAUUAUCUUCCAAAUCCACUUAUGGACACAACAGUGAAUUAUUUGCCUUCAAAUGUAUUAGUGUCCACAGUAGAAGAUAAUGAAGAUAACAGUGAACUUGAAUACAAUUCAAUCUCUGUUUUCCCAACCACCUCUAUUCUGACACCAGUGUUUUCUUGUGGAGGAAACCUUACAUUGGAUGCAAUAAAAGUGGACUGCAAUUCUUUCAAAGGGUAAGCUGGCAAAGCAUCUCUAAGAUUCUGGCCUCAUUUUGUGCACUUUAGUCAGAUCCACAAAUACCGUAAUGUUAUUUUUAGAGUUAAUUAUGUAACUUAAGUGUAGAGGUGCUAAAUCCAAAAACAUCAACAAACUCUGGACUUCUUCAGAAUUGCUUUAACACCUUGGUUUGCAACGCUGUUUUGAAGUCUUACAAGAACCUACUCUUCAAGAGCAGUGAUGUGUUCCUACAGAUCAGAAGCUGAGUGCGCCUUACUUUAAGGUUAAAUAUUUGUAAGAAAGAACGACACAAACUUCAAAAAACCCAACAAGAUGGUUUUAUUCAAGCAUUACCAGUCCAAGAAACAGAGUGAAGUUUACAUUAAAUAUUUACAUUUAGCAUUAAUAUUGAUUUUAUACUCCUUUGUUCUUGUAUAUAAUUUGUGAGAUGGUCUGUCACUAGAUUGUGGCCUUCCAGUUCUGGGCAAUCUUUGGAAAAAUCCACGGUACUAUAUUGCAGUUCUCUGUCUUUCUGCAGGCAGUGGAUUUGAGUAACUUUCCUCUGGAGAAACAUUUGUAGGUGCAGUUUCCAACAGAGCAUCCAUAAAUGUAGUUCUAGAAUUGGUUUUAUUUUAGACUUUGGAUACUUGUGGUUUCAUGUCUCUAAGUUUUGUCACCACCAAAAAUAUAUCACAAGCUACUGUGUAAUUUAAAUACUCUUGUCCCAUGUUCUAUGCCCGUACUACUUGUUUAGAUAUAUUCCUUUAGCGUUAUUUUUGUACAGUUGAUAAUAUAGCAAAAUAGGUAGAAUCAUGCAAGAAUACAGCUGGAAGGGAUUUCAGAUGGUUCAGGGCAGCAUCUGCCCCAUCUAAACCACUCCACAUAGGAGUUGUACUUAAAAUGCUUACAGCAGCACAGUCCCAAGAUAGUUUGUUCUAGUGCUUCAACAACCCCAUAGAUAGUUCUACCUAAUAUCCAACCUACAUUUUCCUCGUUACAAUUUAAGAAUAUUACCUCUUGCCCUGCCUCCUGUAUAGAGUAUGUAAUACAAAAUAGCUUGUUACAAAGUGGAUAGUAAUGUAUUUGAAGAUUUAUCAGAUCUCCCAUCCUUUCCUUCUCCAGAUUGAAGUGCCAGGUCUUUCACCUUUCCUUGUAUGUCAUGUUUACUAGACCUCUAAUAAUUUUUGUUGCUCUCCUUAAAGAACGUAAUAAAUGCCACAUCAUGUCAUACCACAAGUCCAUCUAUCCCAAUAGCCUGUACCUCAGUGGCAAAGAAUGGAUCCCUAAGGGAAAAAGAUAUUUAUGCAGGACCUAGACAAACUAAUCUCUACUCUGCCCCUCUUCUCCUACAGCUUCCAGGGGUCUAUAGAGUCCUAAGCUGGAAGUUACACCAUUAUCAGAUUUAAUACCCUUUGGUGGACAUUUCCUGCAUGAAUUUGGCCAAUCCCUUUUUAAAACAAGUUAAAUUAUCAGCCUUUCCAAAACCUUGUGCCAAUGAGUUCCACGAGUUAAUCCUACCCUGCAUGAAAAGAAAAAAAAACGCAUUUCCUUUUGCUUAUUUUAAAUCUGCUAAGAGUCCUCUGGACUCCUUCCAGGUUGACAAACAUUGUUUUUCCAAUGAUUCCUUCAGCCAAUGCAAGGCCUCGCGGGGAAAAGCAGAAAGCUUGGCAUAAAAUCUUUCUGGACCACUGUAUAGCAGCAGCAUGUGGGAGGGGGAAUUCAGACCUUCCUCUUUGGAUCAGCCCUCUCAGCAGAAAUAGGGGCCAUAGAAACACUUCCCAUACAGUAAAUGUCCCCAUGGGGCAGAGGGGGAGGCAGAGAAGUGAGCAGAAAGCAGCAGGGGAGUGAGUGCUAAUUAAAAUCUAGUUAAAUUCAUUGCCCUGGAGGGAUUUGUAGUGAUGCCUAAAAAAAAAAAAAUUUAAAAAUUCCUAAUUACCAGUAAUUAACCACUUUCAACUUUGAGAGUACUUUGUGCACCAUGAAGGCAGGAUAGUGUGAUUUCUGAUCUUUGUAAUGAAGGAAUAUUACAGAUUCAUAGAUUGUAAGGCCAGAAGGGACCUUGGAAGAUCAUUAGGUCCAGCCCCCUGCACCAAACAGGAAAGAUAACGGGGGUUAUCCUCCGAUUCCUGUUCAGAGCUGUGUGCUGACUUAUUUGAGAACUGCAUGAUUAUAUUGAUGCCUCAUGCUGUUUCCCCACUACAAAACUAAAGGGUGCUCACUGUAUAUGAGGACUACAUGCUUAUAAAGGAAGUAAAAUAACCACAGAUCUUUGCUUUGCCCUGUACAUCCAUUCAUUCAUCUCCAAAAUAGAUUUCUGUAAAAUGGAAGUCUGUUAGUCAGUCACCUGUGCCUUGUUGAACCAAAACCAGCUGAAGAGUAUCCAAAUCUUUGCAAGCUUCAGCCAGUCUUGACAGGUUAUGAAAGACUUAAUCCCUUUAAAUGUUACUAGUUUAUCAGGAGCAAGUUCCAUUGCAAUAAAAGUUGCAUAUUCAGAAUCUACUAAUUGCACUUUUAACAGCUGAGGAAACAGCCAAAAUACUGCAUGCAAAUCACUGGGACUUUGAAGGAUUCAUGGUGACUAAUAACAGCAUAGGGAAGUUAUUUCAGGGACUAAUUAACCAGAUUUCACCAUAAUAGGAGCAGUGGCUGGACAUGAGCCAAGCACAAUCAAUCCAAAGGCUCAGGUUUGAGGUCAGAGCUUUUACCUUGGGUCUUCCGUUAGAAUACCAAGGCCAGUUUAAGGAGUACUCAAGCUGCACGUUCAGAUGAGGCUGGACCAGGCCAGAGCAACAGUGCAAACACCACCAUAGAAUUUGCUUCUGAUAGGUCAGUAACUUUUAAAGGCGACUAAAAGACAAGUUGAUUUUAAAUCAGUUGAAAGAGGAAUGGGCUGUUGAACAGCAAGGUGGCAUACUGGUUUAGCGUGAUACAGUCACAUACAGGGAGCUGAGGGAAGGGCAGCCUGUAUGUCUGCAGCAGGCUUAUACAAUUCACUAGGCAGAAAGUGAUAGGAAAAUAAUGUUAUAAAAGAGCAAGGAGAUGGUUGCCAGGAGCGAGGCAGGACACAGCAGAAUUACUCAAAGCAGGACUGGCAAAAGCCAAGAACAUUUUGAUCCUUUAUUAAAAUAUUCUCCAUACAAAGUCUAAAACGUUUACGCACAUUCCGUUACCUUACUUGCUGUUCACUAGUCCUGGAAACCUGAACAUUGUGCUCCCAGCUUUCCCUCUUUUCCCCUAGGUGCUUAGGGACCAUUAGGGACAUGGUAGCUAAGCAAUCACGUUGGUCAUUAUCACUGGACUUCAGCUUCUGAUUGCAUAUUCAACCGUGAUUUCCUUGAAGCAUAGGCUUUGCAGAAUGGAGAUGGUUCUGAUUUUCAAACUUACCUUGAGCGUAUUCCUUCAAUCUUUACUCAGCAUUUACAAUUGCAGUUUUCCUUCCAAGGCAGAUAAACCAGACCCUUCAAUUAGUGGAUUAGGCUUGUGACUAGUUGCAUUGGGAUAGCACUGAAAAAGCUGCAGUGUUUCUGCUGAAAUACUCUUUCCUCAUUUCUUCAUGAAGCCAUCCCCAGCGAGCCUGUAGGUAAGUCUGUAUUCCUAAAGCAAUGCUACAGAAGGCAUUCUCCUUUUCAGUGGAGAAGAAAUAUGCCAUUAAUCACACAAGACUGUGCUACAUUAGAGCCAUAGAUUUUUUUCCAGAGAUAAAAAUGUAGUCUCUGCUUUCAGAGUAAAGAACUAAAUAAACUAACUUGCAAACCACAAGACAACCUUCCUUUGCUUGUUUCCCUGGAGUACUUUUUAUUCCAGGUCCAUCUAUUGUCUUGUUCCGCAGAGGAUCCAUAUAGUAAUUUGUCUUAAAAAUUCAAAUGAUUGAUGACAUUGUAUCUGCUCUUAGCGUAGAAGAUCUCAUGUGCCAGCCCAGUGGAUUUUUCAUGGCAUACACAA